AACACACUCCAGAUAAGCUCUGUGACAGACAGUCAGACAUGAGCAUGCUGAAGAGUUGCUAUUCAUUUCCCUUGGAUAGAAUUGCAGAUCCCAGAAACAUCCCUUGAAUAUUCUCCAGGGUGUCUUCUCAUAUUAGCUUACCCUUUUACAGAAUGUAUAUAAAGAUGAGUAUAACAGCUUCUUCAAGGGCAUCGGAUGGAUCCCUACUGGUUCCCUGGAAGUGGAGAAGGUCAAGAAAGCAGGAGAUGCAUUAAAUGAGAGGAAGUAUCGACAGCACCCAGAUACCAUCAAGUUCACAAGUGUGCCUGAUUCCAUGGGCAUGGUGUUGGCUCAGCAUAACACAAAGCAGCUAAGUGAUUUGAACUACAAGGUGGAGGGAGAGAAACUGAAGCACAAGUAUACUAUUGACCCUGAAUUGCCUCAGUUUAUUCAAGCCAAAGUCAACGCCCUCAACAUGAGUGAUGCUUAUUAUAAAGCAGAUUGGAAGAAAACCAUUGCCAAGGGCUAUGAUUUGAGACCAGAUGCCAUCCCAAUUGUUGC
rnacentral:sRNA from 1 species